ACUCGCCCAGAGCGCGCACCCCUCACUCGUGCCCUUGUUCUUUGGAGAUAACGGCAGACAAUAAAAACCAACAGCCCCCCGCCAAUAGAAAUAUAUCAGUCCCUGAGUGUGGCGGAGACUGGCUAAUAUCCUGAUCCUUCGACAAGCGGCCGGUGUGCCCAGGCUGUCACCCUGCUGCCGUCACCCUAGUCUUUCUCUAGCUGGUUGGAUAUUAACCCGCAGCCAGGCGCGAGGAGGCUGGCGGAGAUUUAUUCCUUCCUGGGCCCCCACCCCCAUUAGCCGGUCCCGGAGCCGCGGCCCGUGUGUGUGCGCGCGCGCCCGCACACACACACACACACACACACACACACACACACACACACACGUUCACGGGCGCAAGCGAGCGCGCGCACGAGGAGGUGCGUGCACUCCGGGGUCCUCCGCCUCGCCUCCUCCCUGAAAGGAAGUGCUGCAUCCAGAUGUGCAGGCAGCUGGUGCCCAAACACUAGACCUCAAGAUGUCACAUUGCCUUGGAGGCGCG
rnacentral:lncRNA from 1 species